rnacentral:rRNA from 1 species
UCUCUAUGCGGUGCCAGCCGCCGCGGUAAUACGGAGGGUGCAAGCGUUAAUCGGAAUUACUGGGCGUAAAGCGCACGCAGGCGGUCUGUCAAGUCGGAUGUGAAAUCCCCGGGCUCAACCUGGGAACUGCAUUCGAAACUGGCAGGCUAGGGUCUUGUAGAGGGGGGUAGAAUUCCAGGUGUAGCGGUGAAAUGCGUAGAGAUCUGGAGGAAUACCGGUGGCGAAGGCGGCCCCUGGACAAAGACUGACGCUCAGGUGCGAAAGCGUGGGGAGCAAACAGGAUUAGAUACCCUGGUAGUCCACGCCGUAAACGAUGUCGACUUGGAGGUUGUGCCCUUGAGGCGUGGCUUCCGGAGCUAACGCGUUAAGUCGACCGCC